rnacentral:rRNA from 1 species
CCUACGGGAGGCAGCAGUGAGGAAUAUUGGUCAAUGGGCGCGAGCCUGAACCAGCCAAGUCGCGUGAGGGAUGAAGGUUCUAUGGAUCGUAAACCUCUUUUAUAAGGGAAUAAAGUGUGGGACGUGUCCUAUUUUGUAUGUACCUUAUGAAUAAGGAUCGGCUAACUCCGUGCCAGCAGCCGCGGUAAUACGGAGGAUCCGAGCGUUAUCCGGAUUUAGUGGGUUUAAAGGGUGCGUAGGCGGCCUUUUAAGUCAGCGGGGAAAGUCUGUGGCUCAACCAUAGAAUUGCCGUUGAAACUGGGGUGCUUGAGUGUGUGAGAGGCAGGCGGAAUGCGUGGUGUAGCGGUGAAAUGCUUAGAUAUCACGUGGAACCCCGAUUGCGAAGGCGGCCUGCCAAGCCAUGACUGACGCUGAUGCACGAAAGCGUGGGGAGCAAACAGGAUUAGAUACCCCUGUAGUC